GUGGCUGGAGAUAAAUUCAGAAGAAUAAUUAAGGUAUGUGCUUUUUAAUGCUGAGAGUGAUGAACUGACAGAAAAACGUACUCUGAAGCAUGCAAAAGAAGAUAAGAGAAUGAGGCGAAGUUGUGUGAAUGCCACCUUGGAGCUUUGCACAUGGAGACGUUGUCCACGAGACAGGAUCAUGGGAAUACAUGUGCUACCAGAGCCUUGAUAGCAAGGACAGGCCUGAGAGAUGCAAAAACUAAACAUGCAGUUGAUGCUGGUGUGCUGGUGGAGCCAUGCAGCAGGAAGUCCAUGACUUUCUUAGGAAUGAUGGGUGUUGAUACAGAAGAUCUCCUCCACUUUCUUUUGGUCUUUGUGGAAGGCAAAAGAAACAAAAUACAUAUGUAACGCUGCUGCUGUGAACACGUGAGAGGAGGAAAAAAAAAAAAACAACUUCUGAAAUGCGGAAACCAUUUGUUCAGGUCUCCAAGGAAAAUGAAGUCAAACCAAACAAG
ensembl:lncRNA